rnacentral:lncRNA from 1 species
AGCUCUCCCAGCUCUGCCAUUCCCUGUUCUAAUAUUCCCUGUUCUAAAGACUAUCCCAGCUCUGCCAUUCCCUGUUCUAACAUUCCCUGUUCUAAAGACUGUCCCAGCUCUGCCAUUCCUUGUUCUAACAUUCUCUGUUCUAAAGACUCUCCCAGUUCUACCAUUCCCUGUUCUAACAUUCUCUGUUCUAAAGACUCUCCCAGCUCUGCCAUCUCCUGUUCUAAAGACUCUCCUAGCUCUGCCAUUCCCUGUUCUAACAUUCUCUAUUCUAAAAAGACUGUCCCAGCUCUGCCAUCCCCUGUUCUAACAUUGUCUGUUCUAAAGACUCCCCCAGCUCUGCCAUCCCCUGUUCUAACAUUCUCUGUUUUGAAGACUCUCCCAGCUCUGCCAUUCCCUGUUCUAACAUUCUCUGUUCUGAAGACUCUCCCAGCUCUGCCAUUCCCUGUUCUAACAUUCUCUGUUCUGAAGACUCUCCCAGCUCUGCCAUCCCCUGUUCUAACAUUCUCUGUUCUGAAGACUGUCCCAGCUCUGCCAUCUCCUGUUCUAACAUUGUCUGUUCUAAAGACUCUCCUAGCUCUGCCAUCUGUUCUAACAUUCUCUGUUCUAAGAACUCUCCCAGUUCUGCCAUUCCCUGUUCUAACAUUCUCUGUUCUGAAGACUCUCCCAGCUCUGCCAUCUCCUGUUCUAAAGACUCUCCCAGCUCUGCCAUCUCCUGUUCUAAAGACUCUCCUAGCUCUGCCAUCUCCUGUUCUAACAUUCUCUGUUCUAAGCUCCCUCCCAGCUCUGCUAUUCCCUGUUCUAAAAUUGUUUUAUGCUAAGCUCCAUCUCAACUCUGACAUCUCUUCUAACAUUUCCUGUUCUAAGUUCCCUCCCAACUCUGCCAUCCCCUGUUCUAACAUUCCCUGUUCUAAGUUCCAUCUCAACUCUGCCAUCCCCUGUUCUAACAUUCCCUGUUCUAAGUUCCCUCCCAACUCUGCCAUCCCCUGUUCUAACAUUCCCUGUUCUAAGUUCCAUCUCAACUCUGCCAUCCCCUGUUAUAACAUUCCCUGUUCUAAGUUCCAUCUCAACUUGGUCAUCCCCUGUUCUAACAUUCCCUGUUCUAAGCUCCCUCCAAGUUCUGCCACCCUUUAA